rnacentral:rRNA from 1 species
CGCCUGUUUAUCAAAAACAUCGCCUCUUGUUCAAUUAUAGGAGGUCCAGCCUGCCCAGUGACUUUGUUCAACGGCCGCGGUAUCCUAACCGUGCGAAGGUAGCGUAAUCACUUGUUCUUUAAAUGAGGACUAGUAUGAAUGGCCCCACGAGGGCUGCACUGUCUCCUUUUUCUAAUCAAUGAAACUAAUCUCCCCGUGAAGAAGCGGGAAUUAUCCUAUAAGACGAGAAGACCCUAUGGAGCUUUAAACAAUUGAAACAUUUGCUUUUCUCCUAACUCCUCCCGAGCUCUUUAUUUUUAUUUAAGCAUUAUUAUUUCUAGUUUUAGGUUGGGGUGACCACGGAGCAAAACUAAACCUCCAUGAAGAAAUGAAUAUUUUUAAGCCACAAACUACUUUUUUAAGCAUCAACAAAUUGACCUUCAUUGACCCAAUAUAUUGAUCAACGAACCAAGUUACCCUAGGGAUAACAGCGCAAUCUACUUCAAGAGCUCAUAUCGACAAGUAGGUUUACGACCUCGAUGUUGGAUCAGGGUAUCCUAGUGGUGCAGCCGCUACUAAUGGUUCGUU